rfam:Homo sapiens chromosome 22, GRCh38 reference primary assembly.
GCUGGGUGUGGUGGCUCAUGCCUGUAAUCCCAGCACUUUGGGAGGCUGAGGCAGGCGGAUUGCUUGAGCCCAGGAGUUCAAGACCAGCCUGAGCAACAUAGCAAGACCCUGUCUCUA